ACUACAACAGCUUGUCUGAAAAAAGAGGGAAGUUCACGGUUUCAAAUAUUGAUCCAAACAAGUGUACCCACUUGAUCUACGCCUUCUCUGACAUUAACAAACAACACAGGCUGGUCCCGAGCACAGCAACUGACAUACUACGCUAUCAGGCCUUCAAUGGACUCAAAACCAGAAAUCCACUGCUUAAAACCCUGUUGGCUGUUGGUGGCCUGAACUUUAACACACAAAAAUUCAGUGCAAUGGUGGCAACACAACAAAAC